rnacentral:lncRNA from 1 species
GUGGUCUUUUUUGGCUUGGUUUCUCAUGAAAACAGAAUCCGUGACUUGAGUUUUCUGUAUGACGUGAAGAUCAGAGACCUGAGAGAAGAGAGAGAGCCGUGUGACACUGUGAGAGAAGGAGCAGGAGGCUUCUGGACAGCGAACAAUGGUCGCUUUAGGGAUUCAGGGGGUCUUUUAAGAGAGAGAGCUUUUGUGAGAAAAAACUUUAUGUGAGGGAGA